rnacentral:miRNA from 1 species
UCAAUGCUCUCUGGAGCUUCU